rnacentral:lncRNA from 1 species
GCAGAUGUUGUGACCUCACUUUGCCUGUAUGGCUGCGUAAAAUCUGGAUAGGUGUCCUACCGCAGAGAUGUUGGUGUAUGUGUAUGCUGCAUUGUGCACAAUGUUGGGAAAUGAAGCCAGCCCAGAGCCCUGUGGGAAGCUGACUAGAUAUGGCCCAUAUACACAGUGGCAUCUUAUUCACCCUGUCCUUUUCAAAGGGUUCACACGAUGGAGCAAGAGCAGAAUGAAGCAAGUCCCGGCUUUAUCACCUUUGGAAGACACAGGUCUCCUGCCACCCUCCGAGAUCUUCCCGCCGAGCCCAGGCGCGGGGCAUGAGGAGCCCCUGGGUGUCUCCUGCAGACAACCCAGCCUCGCGCACACCUCGCCAGUCGCUGACAGGGACAUGAACAGCAUGAUUGGGUUCCGGUGUCCGGCGGCCAGCCUCAGCCGGAGGCGGCCAGUGGGUCUGCGCUGUUUGGGAGAAUGA